ensembl:lncRNA
UUAUAAUAUUAUAAAAUAAAUCAAAUAAAUAAAUGAAAAAUACUGCAUAAUUUAUAGAAAUUUACAGAGCCACAUAAUCUAAAACUAACUAUUAUGUUAUUUAUAUUGUAUUUUAUAAUUUCACUGAAAUUAGACAUUUGAAAUAAAUAAAUAAAUACAAUUACAAAGUAAAGAAAUACAUACAAUGUUUGAGUCUGCACUGAUGCUGCAUUUAAUUUAUACAGAAACACAAGUAUCAGAACUGGCACAGAAUUUGAAAGAGCAACAGUCUAAAUAACUAAUAUUUCAUUUACAUUUUAGUGUAUUUUAUAAAUAUACUUUACAUAUAAAUUAUUAUGAAAUAUGAAAUCAAAUUAUGAAUAAAUAAAUCAACAAAUAAACACAAAGUCCAAGUGUGCACUUUUGCGGCAUGCAAAUUCUAUACAGAAGGAAAAGCUUUAGAAUUGGCACAAAUUUUGAAACAGGCUCAGAGCCUUUUCUUAUGAAAAGCAUCAUGGGUAAUUUUAAAUUCCAGUAUGCUGGAUGAAUGAGAAGUCAGCUGUGACAACAUGCAAUGUCACAAACUCUGUGCGCUUGACAGCCAGAACUGUUUGUUGGUGUUUUUUCUUCUUCUUCUUCUUCUUCUUCUUCUGUUUUUUUUUUUUUAAUUUAAUCAUAUAAAUUGAUCAUGUCUCUUUAGGAGGCUUGGAUUAAACUAUUCAAUUCAAACCACUCAAUUUAUUUUACAAUCUCUUUGAACUUUUUGAAGCAUCAGUUUUGGGUGAAAAGACUUUCAGUAGAGGGACAGAAAUCUCUCAGAUUUUAAUUAUAUAUAAAUAUAAUAAUAUAUAAAUAUUUUCAUUUUCUUUUGUUGAAGACAAAAAAAAAAUCUUCUGAUUUUCAAAACAACAUGAGGGUGAGUAAAUGAUGAAAAUGUUAAUUUUCAGGUGAACUAAUCCUUCACUCUAAAAGAAAAAGGUUCUUCAGCAGUUCUUUGGGGAGGUUGAGGUGCUAUAUAACACCACUACCAUAUAAAGAACCUGUUAAGCCCCAGCAUGGUUCUUCAGUGAUUCUUCAGCAGUUCUUUGGGUGGUUAAGGUGCUACAUACAGUAGCACCACUGCUGUACAUAAAGAAGCCAUUAAGCCAACCAAAAUAUUGUUUAUUACUUUGUUUGCACUUUGGAGGGAUUAAUGCAGAACACAAAUUCCAAGUAUGCGUUACCAUACUUGCCCACACCUCACUUCAUUAUACUCCAAAUUUUGUAAUUGUAGUUGUAGUUUUAAUGUAAUUGCAGUAAAUUAAACAUAAUUUACUAAUUAUACAUCAGAUUUUAAUUUAUAAUGUGUGUGUGUGUGUGUGUGUGUAUAUAUAUAUAUAUAUACACACACACACGCACACAGACAAACUAUAUUUUUAAUUUAAUGAACACACACAAAAUAAAAUGUCUCUGUAACUCAUUUACACAUACCAUAUAAAAGUAAAAUCAGUAAAGGGUUAAAGCUGUGGUGUUGAACAGUGAUGGAAAGAGUACUGAAAAUUUGUACUUAAGUACAAGUACUGUUACAUUGCUGAAAUAAUACUCAAUUAUAAGUAAAAGUACUGGUGUCAAAACAGUACUUAAGUAAAAGUACAAAUUAUUCUUCUCAAAAACUACUCAGAAUACUAGUUACUAGUUUUUUUUUUUUUUUUAUCCGGCGAUAUUUAAUGAAUUACCAAAAAAAUAUUCAUAUCAAAGAUCUAUGUGGAUAAUAGCUACUUUGAACAAACCCACUUUUAUCUUAUUGACAAAGUAUGUGAAUUAGUGGUCAUGAUGCAGGAAUUUCUAACUUCUUAAUAUUAAAGUACCCGUGAACCGGAAGUUGCAACUGACUUCAGUGCUGUGAUAUGUAUUUUCAAGCGAAAUGGAAUAUUGAAUGAAGGGCGAGGCUUUAUUGUGGUGCACCUCAACUCCACCUAUUGCUCACAGCAGAUUUACGGUUAGAUAGGAGAGGUUAAGAAUAUCUGCUUGAUAAGUCUGACAUCACACUUCACUUCUUCUGGGUCUUAACGCCUGCCAGAUGCCCCAAGAAAACACCAAACUGUGUAAAUAUACACCCACAAUGUCAUUUAAUACGGAAAAAUUAUAACCCUAACCUUUAUCUCCAUACUGAAAUCCCAGAUGGACAGACAGUGAUUCAGCUAAAAUAUUAGUGUCUGAGACACUGUGAGCAUAGAGACUUUUUUUUUUUUUUUUUUAAUGCGUAGCUUAAAUAUAUAAUAUUAAUUAAAUAGUGCUUGGACCCAGAAG